GAUGAACGCUGGCGGCGUGCCUAAUACAUGCAAGUCGAGCGAACAGACGAGGAGCUUGCUCCUCUGACGUUAGCGGCGGACGGGUGAGUAACACGUGGAUCACCUCCCUAUAAUACUGGGAUAACUUCGGGAAACCGGCGCUAAUACCGGAUAAUAUAUUGAACCGCAUGGUUCAAUAGUGAAAGACGGUUUUGCUGUCACUUAUAGAUGGAUCCGCGCCGCAUUAGCUGGUUGGUAAGGUAACGGCUUACGAAGGGGACGAUGCGUAGCCGACGGGAGAGGGUGAUCGGCGACACUGGAGCGUGGACGCGGUCCAGACUCCUACGAGAGGCAGCAGUAGGCAAUCGUCCGCAGUGGGCGGAAGUCUGACGGAGCAACGGCGCGUGAGAGAUGGAAGUCUUCGGUGCGUAAUACUGUGUUAUUAGUGAAGAACAAAUUUGGAAGGAACUAUGCACGUCGUGACGGUACCUGAUCAGAAAGCCACGGCUAACUACGUG
rnacentral:rRNA from 1 species